rnacentral:rRNA from 1 species
AGCGUUGGAACCACCUGAUCCCAUCCCGAACUCAGCAGUGAAACGAUGCAUCGCCGAUGGUAGUGUGGGGUUUCCCCAUGUGAGAGUAGGUCAUCGUCAAGA